UACGAAGGGGGCUAGCGUUGCUCGGAAUCACUGGGCGUAAAGGGUGCGUAGGCGGGUCUUUAAGUCAGGGGUGAAAUCCUGGAGCUCAACUCCAGAACUGCCUUUGAUACUGAAGAUCUUGAGUCCGGGAGAGGUGAGUGGAACUGCGAGUGUAGAGGUGAAAUUCGUAGAUAUUCGCAGGAACACCAGUGGCGAAGGCGGCUCACUGGCCCGAUACUGACGCUGAGGCACGAAAGCGUGGGGAGCAAACAGGG
rnacentral:rRNA from 1 species